UACGGAGGGUGCGAGCGUUAAUCGGAAUUACUGGGCGUAAAGCGCACGCAGGCGGUUUGUUAAGCUAGAUGUGAAAGCCCCGGGCUCAACCUGGGAUGGUCAUUUAGAACUGGCAGACUAGAGUCUUGGAGAGGGGAGUGGAAUUCCAGGUGUAGCGGUGGAACGCGUAGAUAUCUGGAGGAACAUCAGUGGCGAAGGCGACUCCCUGGCCAAAGACUGACGCUCAUGUGCGAAAGUGUGGGUAGCGAACAGG
rnacentral:rRNA from 1 species